GACGAACGCUGGCGGCGUGCUUAACACAUGCAAGUCGAACGGAAAGGCCCUGCUUUUGUGGGGUGCUCGAGUGGCGAACGGGUGAGUAACACGUGAGUAACCUGCCCUUGACUUUGGGAUAACUUCAGGAAACUUGGGCUGAUACCGGAUAGGAGCUCCUGCUGCAUGGUGGGGGUUGGAAAGUUUCGGCGGUUGGGGAUGGACUCGCGGCUUAUCAGCUUGUUGGUGGGGUAGUGGCUUACCAAGGCUUUGACGGGUAGCCGGCCUGAGAGGGUGACCGGCCACAUUGGGACUGGGAUACGGCCCAGACUCCUACGGAGGCAGCAGUGGGGAAUAUUGCACAAUGGGCGGAAGCCUGAUGCAGCAACGCCGCGUGCGGGAUGACGGCCUUCGGGUUGUAAACCGCUUUCGCCUGUGACGAAGCGUGAGUGACGGUAAUGGGUAAAGAAGCACCGGCUAACUACGUG
rnacentral:rRNA from 1 species